rnacentral:rRNA from 1 species
UACAGAGGGGGCAAGCGUUGUUCGGAAUUACUGGGCGUAAAGGGCGCGUAGGCGGCCCACUAAGUCGAACGUGAAAUCCCUGGGCUCAACCCAGGAACUGCGUCCGAUACUGGUGGGCUCGAAUCCGGAAGAGGCGAGUGGAAUUCCUGGUGUAGCGGUGAAAUGCGCAGAUAUCAGGAGGAACACCAAUUGCGAAGGCAGCUCGCUGGGACGUUACUGACGCUGAGACGCGAAAGCGUGGGGAGCAAACAGG